GACGAACGCCGGCGGCGUGCCUAAUACAUGCAAGUAGAACGCUGAAGAGAAGAGCUUGCUCUUCUUGGCUGAGUUGCGAACGGGUGAGUAACGCGUAGGUAACCUCCCUGGUAGCGGGGGAUAACUAUUGGAAACGAUAGCUAAUACCGCAUAAAAUUGAUUAUUGCAUGAUAAUUAAUUGAAAGAUGCAAAUGCAUCACUACCAGAUGGACUGCGUUGUAUUAGCUAGUUGGUGAGGUACCGGCUCACCAAGGCGACGAUACAUAGCCGACCUGAGAGGGUGAUCGGCCACACUGGGACUGAGACACGGCCCAGACUCCUACGGGAGGCAGCAGUAGGGAAUCUUCGGCAAUGGGGGGAACCCUGACCGAGCAACGCCGCGUGAGUGAAGAAGGUUUUCGGAUCGUAAAGCUCUGUUGUAAGAGAAGAACGGGUGUGAGAGUGGAAAGUUCACAAAG
rnacentral:rRNA from 1 species